rnacentral:rRNA from 1 species
UACGUAGGGUGCGAGCGUUAAUCGGAAUUACUGGGCGUAAAGCGUGCGCAGGCGGUUCGUUGUGUCUGUGGUGAAAGCCCCGGGCUUAACCUGGGAAUGGCCAUGGAAACUGGCGAGCUGGAGUGUGGCAGAGGGGGGUGGAAUUCCGCGUGUAGCAGUGAAAUGCGUAGAGAUGCGGAGGAACACCGAUGGCGAAGGCAGCCCCCUGGGAUAACACUGACGCUCAGGCACGAAAGCGUGGGGAGCAAACAGG